UUCAACACUUCACAACCUGCACUAGUCAUUACAUGAACUCUUUGUGUCUUCUCAUUGUUUCUAAUUGUACAGAUGGAUGAUUCACUCGGAUCAAAAGAGCAUGCCAUCUCCAUCACGUGUACUCCCUGCAUGCACAUCUAAAACCCUUACUUUCUUGGAUACCAUCUGAGCUACACAUUUUUCUUGGCACCUCCAACAUAACUUGCAGUGCCCUCGGAAAGACUGAUGCUGAAGCGAUGGUUGAGACUUCCUGUCACAAUGAACAGAAUUUGCAAGAAGAGGGUUCUGCUCUUUAGUCUGGCCCUGAAUGUGCUCAUCUCGCUCUGCUGUAUUUUGUUCUUCUAUGCGAGUCUUGGAUGCAAAAAUAGUUACAUUAAAUAUGAAAGUUUACCUGAGUGUCAGUGUGAGACGAUGCUUGGUUUAUCAUCAUCACAAGACACAGUUGAGCAGAUGGAGGAAUCUAUAACAUUUUUGAAUCAAACAACAAAGAAGAACUGAUGCAGCAUCACCCAAACAUACCUGUGAGAAUUAUCA